rnacentral:rRNA from 1 species
CAGUCGCCACGGUAAUACGUAGGGCGCAAGCGUUAUCCGGAAUUACUGGGCGUAAAGCGCACGUAGGCGGCUUGGUAAGUUAGAGGUGAAAGCCUGGAGCUCAACUCCAGAAUUGCCUUUAAGACUGCCGAGCUAGCAGGUGAGAGAGGUAAGUGGAAUUCCGAGUGUAGAGGUGAAAUUCGUAGAUAUUCGGAAGAACACCAGUGGCGAGGGCGGCUCACUGGCUCAUACUGGACGCUGAGGUGCGAAAGCGUGGGGAGCAAACAGGAUUAGAUACCCGUGUAGUCCCUGUCUCUUAUAC